rnacentral:rRNA from 1 species
CCUACGGGAGGCAGCAGUGAGGAAUAUUGGUCAAUGGACGAGAGUCUGAACCAGCCAAGUAGCGUGAAGGAUGACUGCCCUAUGGGUUGUAAACUUCUUUUAUAUGGGAAUAAAAUGUUCCACGUGUGGGAUUUUGUAUGUACCAUAUGAAUAAGGAUCGGCUAACUCCGUGCCAGCAGCCGCGGUAAUACGGAGGAUCCGAGCGUUAUCCGGAUUUAUUGGGUUUAAAGGGAGCGUAGGUGGAUUGUUAAGUCAGUUGUGAAAGUUUGCGGCUCAACCGUAAAAUUGCAGUUGAAACUGGCAGUCGUGAGUACAGUAGAGGUGGGCGGAAUUCGUGGUGUAGCGGUGAAAUGCUUAGAUAUCACGAAGAACUCCGAUUGCGAAGGCAGCUCACUGGACUGCAACUGACACUGAGGCUUGAAAGUGUGGGUAUCAAACAGGAUUAGAUACCCCAGUAGUC